UUCAAGAUGUUGAGUAUUGAUUACUAAUCAACUACUAGCCUGGAAGAUAAAAGCCAAAGCUGUAAACAGACAGGUCAGUACCAAUUUGUCAUCCAAGCAACAAAUAUUCCUUGGUAAUCUGCUAUCAGAUGACAGUUAUCUCUUUGGCAUUUUUAUGAAUUAAAGCUUUCAAAGCCAAAGUAAGACUUAAUUUUUUCUUUUCUUUAACUGCUAAUUCUAAAAUAAUUUAUCAUUGCAUGUUAAAAAUAACUUGUUAUACAUUUUUCUGUGUUUUUGGUCAAGCUUCAGAUUUGCUUAGCAUAUUCCUGUACUACAUAUCAACAAAUGUUUGAUGGUUUGUCUGGUUCAUCUCUUAACACUAUGAAGAUGGCUGCACUAAUCUUAACAAGCAAACAUUCUGUUGCCAACAGUACCAAUUUGUCAUCCUAUCCAAGCAACUACUAUUCCUUGGUAAUCUGCUAUCAGAUGAUUACAGUUUUCUCUUUGGCAUUUGUAUGAAUUAAAGCUUUCAAAGCCAAACCUUAGAUUUGGUUAGCAUAACCCUGAACUGCAUAUCAACAAAUGUCUAAUGGUCUGUCUGGUUCAUUUCUCAAGACUAUGAAGAUGGCUACACAGGUAUCAGCUAUCAGCAGUGCACCCCUAUGAUACACAAGUCUUCAUUGCCAAGUCACUCUGCCAAACAGUGUGUACACCUUUCUUGCAUUGGUAGUGACCCACUUUACUGUCAUGAGUCUGGAUAUGUCAGGCCAAGGAGAUCAAGUUUGUGUCCAAGGUUACUUAGUUAAUUCUCUAAGAACAAUAGACAGACUCUACAUGCUACUGAUCUGGAGGUUAGUGGCUCAAUCAUUGUGCACUGAUUCUUCACUGAUGCCUUGAUUCCCCACUGUCAACUUUAUUGUCAUAAAGUUUAUCUAGUGAUCUACAUAUCAAGACUAAAUGGUCAAUUAAACAUGAGGUCAAGGAAAAAGGAUGAACAUUUCAAGGCUACUGAAGGAACAUUAAACGUCUCUCUCACUGUGAAAAGAUUCUACCGAUCUACAAAUGAUCAACAUGUUUUAUCUUAAGUUCGUCUGCCAUUUCUUCAAAUGGAGCCAUAUUAAGAAUAAGAUUCUUUUUGUUCUUCCUUAGGUUCAAAUGUAUCAGUUGUUUUUGUUGACAGAUAUCAAGUCAUUUCAGUUCUCAAUUAUUUUGUGCACCAAGUUACAAGAAAAAAUUUAAGCAAGAGAGGUCACUACACUAAGACUUUGUCUUCUCAUAAGAAAGGAUGGCUGCCUGGUCAUGUGAUAUGUGCACUGGACUGUGUAUGGUCAUCUUGAUGCUCAUAUCUUGCCUGAUGACAUUUAUUCUGCUGAACAUUUGGUCAAGGAAGUAGAUUCUCUUCAGCUCUCAAGAAACAUUCAAAACAUGUCAAACAUUCGACAAGAAUAUCAAGUGCAAUGUACAUACCAACAUGAUGAAAAGGUAGACAACAUGAAGCUGUAGACCAACAUGAUGAAGAUGUAGACCAACAUGAAGAGGUAGACCAGCAUGAUGAAGAUGUAGACCAACAUGAUGAAGAUGUAGACCAACAUGAAGAUGAAAUGUAAACCAAAAAAUGGGUCAAGAGAUGUAUGGAAUACAAUGUGAACAUCUUGAGAAGUAAAACAAUUCUUAGAGGCAAAGACACAGACACACCGGAUCUAUUAGAGAUUUUCCUUUUCUACCAUCAUUUAGAGACUUCCUUGUGCUCUAAGGGAAUAUGUCAUUAACUUUUGAUUGCUAAUUGGCAUUGAUGUUUUUACAUUCCUACUGCGUCUGAAAGAAAUUAACAUUUCCCUAAUGCUACUUCAAAACCAGACCUUCUCAAGACAAUUUUAGUGACCAAGCUGCAAUAUGGGACUCAGUAGGAAACAAUGAAGAAUGCUCCUAACCUCAGGUUGAGUAACCAUGCUCACCUACUAGAGUGGCGACAAAUACUUCUACACCCACAGUUAUACAUCCUGAACCCUGUAACCCAACCUCACAACAUGGUUACAUUACCGGAAGUGGUCGCAAGGUCAGAAAACCUAACAGAUACAAUGGAUAGAACAAUGAACAGGUACAAGUACUCAAGUGAUGUACUUUGUGAGAACUAUUUAGGUGGAAUCACCAUAAUUGACUUGUAUAAAUCUUGUUCUAUAUUUAGGUAUAUCUUGACAAUCAGUCCAGUCAUUUGUUCAUUUUUUUUUUAAAUAUUCCUUUUUUUUCCCUCAAUCUUCUUGUUGUUUCAGUUACAUGUUUUUGUAUUUUGAAGGAGGAAGGUGCUAUGGUAUAUUAUCGUUAUUAUUAUUGUACCAGUAUUAAGCAAACUUGUAUAUCUUUAAUUAUUCAUGAAUUCUAAAGAAGAACGUCACUUCCACCGGAAAAUGUUGUAACAACUAUACGUGUCUUCAGUUAACAUUCAAUACUCUGUACAGUCACAACGCCAAAGCCUUGCUAGAUUAUGCUUUUAAUUCAAUUUGUUAUCUCCCCUGCUUUAGUGUGCUAUCAUAUAAUUUUUUGUGUCACAUCCCUGCACAAUUUGUUCUAUGCUUUUUUACAGUAUAAAUAGCGACUUGACAUUAUUUAGCUCUAUUAUAAUAUUGUUAUAUUAUUAUAUUUAAAAUAAAACUGUUAACAUAUUCUAUGCUGUUAUAAUAUAAAUGUUUUGCUGUUACCAUGAAUACAGUUUUGAGUUUUUGUCUGAUAUCUUAGAGGAGAAAUUUUCCAUAAAUAAUAAUAAUAAGGCUUAUCUUCAAGUCCGAAGAUUAGUGAGAAGUAUGCAGUAUUCCCCAGCUAGGACCUACAUAUUUUGCUAUAAAUAAAGAGUAUAAUAAUAUUUACUACUUGGUAUUGUCAGUCUUCACUAAAGCAAUGAGUUUAUCCCCUUAGUGUGUUUAAAAUUUUCAAAUACUAAUUCACUUUGUAUUAUCUAUUGGUGAUCAUGGGGUAUCCACUUUGUCAUCUCCAUAGUCUCUGGUGUUAACACUCACUGUCCUGUUGGAGGUUACGGCUAGGAUGUAAUCUCUCUUUCUGAUGGAACACAUGUAAAACCAACAAAACAAACAUUAGACCUAGACUUUAUUAACAGGUAAAUUUUUAUAAUUGUGAACUGGCGCUCCCAAAGCUACUUUUAUGUAUUUUAAAUUUUACUUCUGUAGGCUAGUGCUAAGCUGUGUACUUGUAUUUCUGCCUAUUAUAUGGGUUAGGGUGGAGUACUUAAAAUAGAGCCUAUGCUGUUUCCUGUACUGUUGACCAGUGGUCUCUGUGUCAGUUUUAAUUAUUCUGUACCUGGGACUGCCUGUAAGUUUCAGAAUUUUUCUUUUAUUUUUUAAAAUUUUACUAUGUGUAAAUCUGUUUUAUAUUUGAACAACUGUCAAAAUAACUAGCAGUUUUUUUUUUCUAAAGUUUGUUUUAAAAAUAUGGCCAAGCCCUGCCCAGUGCUGUCAUGAUGGCCACUUCUAAUGUUUAUGUACUAGAUUGUAACUGCUGCCUUAGUCAUUGAAAUUAAAGUCUCAUUUGAAUUUC